GGGACACACACAUGGGCUAACAGCGCGCACACGCUUCUGCGCUCGCACACCCUGGGAGAGCACUUAUAUAGCCUCCAUAAGGCUAAGCAUCUCCUUUUCGGAGGCAGCGAUGAAACAAACAACUCUGCCGGCAACAAGACCAGCUCAGAGAGCUCCCAGCUGGCGGCUCUCACCCCAAAGGCUCUUGGGAAAUGGCAUGCAGGCGCACACACAAAAUCAAGGAGAUGAUCCGGCCUACCUGGCACUCACUUUCAAGUUCACUCAAAGGCCUUGUGCUUCCCUUUGCCCACAGUGACUGAGUUACCAGGAGGGACAGAUGUUCGUUUGGAAGCCAGAUGUGUCCCCCAGACAACGGAUGUCAGACAGUUGGAGAAGAAGAUGCUCAAUGGAUGCGGAACCACAGCUGAUCGAUCACCUUGGCCAGUUUGGGGAGGUGGGAGCUUUGCGCUCAGCUUCCUCUGGGGAUUCUCAGGGCUUUCCAGGUUGACAGGUCCCCUGAGGAGAUGGAGUCACAGUCGCACCCUGACACCCCGCAGGCCAUCGCACCAGCAUGGAGCCCCGACAUCUCUCAGCCGCACCGUCAUCUUGGGACAAGUGGUUGGCUGUCUCUUGAAAACAGACCAGACAGAAAAGGGUAGCCGAAGGAACCUACUACACAAAGGCCUAGCUUGAGCUCAAAGGCUUCAGAAAUCUCAAAGCCACCUCCACAGCAACAUACCUCCUCCAACAAGGCCACAUCUCCUCCAACAAGGCCACACCUCUUCCUAAUAAUGCUACUCCCUGUGGACCAGACAUUUAAACACGAUGAAGAUGGCUUACAGAAAUGAGGCUAAUCCUCAGAGUGAGAAAGGAAUGACGACUGGGUGCCUAUCACAGCUUAAUUCGGAGGGAAGUAUUCAGGAUGUUGGCGUGAGAUGGCCACUGCUCGUAGGUUGUAAUGAAGUUCUCUGACAGGCUGAAUGUAUCCUGCUUUUCCAGCAGAAAGGGAAGAAACCAGAGCUUUGCUAAGAGAGACUCUUGAGGCCUGCGUCUACCCUGCAGGAUGGUUGAAAUUCUGACCCAGGGGCAUACAGGGUUUGAAAGCUGCAUUUUCUAUCUUAAAUACAAGUUAAUAUCCAGAAAUUGCUAAUUGUGUGCUCUCUCUCCUCUCCUCCUUCCUCUCCUUUCCUCUUUUCUCUCUCUCUCUCAUCUCACUGUAUAUUUCAAGAUGGCCUUGAACAAACCACCCUCUAUGUCCGCUGUGAGAUCAGAAUACAGCAAAAGACUCAUCGACCUUCUCCUCAGUCUCCUGGGCUGCUAACUAUUCUCUGACACAGAAAGGGAAGAACUCUAUGUUUUGUGAUGUUCUAUCUGGGAGUGGUAUAAAGGUCUCCUCGAAUCCCCGAGAGACGGGGCAUCUCACCAUGAGUCGCAUACACUGCAGUUUGGUACCCAGCAGUCACACAUGGAUGCCGAGGUACUUGAUCAAUGAGUAAUGCCAGGACUACAUUUUACUUUAACUGUUGAAAACUUGGCAUUAAAAUGGAGACGGACUACAAGUGUAAAAUACAAGCUGGAUUUCAAAGAUGGUAUAAUAAAAAGGAUGACACAGGGAAUUUGGCAGAAGAGGAGGCAAA